GUCUGGCAAGAAGUGUCUUCCCAAUACCAGACAUGCCUUUCAGAAGCAGAGUCGAACGACUUGUUUCCUCGUUGAGGAUCCUCGUGCGAAGCAGCUUUUCCACAGCAUCCACCAAUCCCACCACAUCUUCAUCUUCAUCUUCAUCUUCUCCGACAUUUCCUGAGUCUGUCUCCAUCCCCAAUUUAAGUAAGCUCUUUUUGAUUUCUCUGAUCCACUGUAGGGCAGGAUGAAUCUCAGAGAAGUAUUUGUUGAUAGUGUCGAGGGUAACUCGAACCAUCUCGACAACGUCGCAUAUGAGAUAAUUGAGGCGUCUCCCCUCUCCCAAUUUCUGGUCUCUCAUUAUAUCUACAAUCAUUCUCAGCUCAUUUAUCAUUUCUGUUUCCUUCUCGGCUUUCAAUUUCCUUUCGCCGACGGUGUACUCAGGGGAGCACGUUAGCAACAUGCAAGUGAUCGAAGAAUUUAAACUUUCUUGCCGACGUUCCAGCUUUUGCAUCAUCGAUAAGAUAAGGGCCUCUGCCAUGCUUCUUUGUUCGACCAAACUGCAUUCACAACCCCGAAUUAAUUAUUUCUGAACACAUAAGGCAUUCAUCAAUCUAUUACGGAGCCAGAGAAUUUUUUAGGACAAUAACUUAUAUUGAUUUGGAAAUUAGGACAAAAACUUUCGGAUUUGUAAAAAUAGGACACUAAUUUUUUUUAGAGUAAAAUAUGACACUAAUUAAUAAGCGUCGUAAAAAUAGGACAUUUCUCGACUGAUAAUUGGCCGAAAAAUGUCCUGCGGAUGAUGCAAUACUUAUUAGUUAGUGUCCUAUUUUACUCAAAAAAAAAAAAUAGUGUCCUAUCUUUACAAAUUCGAAAGUUAUUGUCCUAAUUUCCAAAUCAAUCUAAGUUACUGUCCUAAAAAACCCUCGAACUCAUCUAUUACGAAUUGUUGUUCCUCAAUCUAUCACGAAUUGUUCCUCAUAAAUGAUGAAUAAAUGAUGGAGACAUAAUUUUUGUUCCUCAAUCUAUUAUGAAUUGUUGUCAUUUCUCUUCGUAUUUUCCUAGUAUUGAGAUUUACGACUCCUAAUGUAUCACAUUUUCACCGCUCUCAAUAUUCUCAAAAAAAAAAACAAUAUAUCAAAAUUAGAGGUUACAAGAAUUGAAAUACAUGUUCAUCAUCAUAUUCCAAAAGAACGUGUGUUUAAAGAGCUAGUAACAUAUUCGGGCUAGGGAUGGCAACGGGCCGGAUCUGGACCGGGUCUGGCCAAUACCAGAUCCAGAUCCGUUUUCAUAUACCAGAUUCAGAUCUGUGGAUCUGAAAAUUUUGGAUCCAGAUCCAGAUCCGUCAGAUCCGCGGGUCCACGGGUCCAGAUCCAUGGAUCUACUAUUUUUAAAUUAAAUUAAAAAAAUUCACAAAAUCAACAACAUCUAAUUUCCAUCAUGAAAAAUAUAACACAAAAUACUUUUAUCUAAUUACUUUUAGUUUUUAUUCUUUUGAAUAUAAUUUAUUUAUUAUUUUUAAUUUAGUUAAUAUUAUUAGUAAACUAAAUAUAAAAUAUAAAAAAUAUAUAUAAAAUAAAACGGAUCCACGGGUUGGAUCUGGGCCGGAUCUGGAUCUAAAAUUACAAGAUCUAGAUCCAGAUCCGUUUUCAAAACUGAGAACCAGAUCCAGAUCCGUCGGGUCCAAAAAAUUGAGAUCCAGAUCCGUAAAAAAUCAAACUGACAAUCCACGGAUCUGGACCGGGUCCAAGAUCCACUGCCAUCCCUAAUUCGGGCUCUGGGUUAGAUAAAAUCUAUUGAAGCCAAAGAUUUCAAAAAUCAAACUUUUCGAUAUGAAAACAUCAUAAUCACAUAUUCAUAUGAAUUUUAGAAUUAUUCAAUAUCCUUCUCAAAGAAAAAAUUAAAAAAUUUAAUUCAAACAUCAUAAUCAUAUUCCAAAAGAACUCUUUGUUUAAAGAGCUAGUAACAUAUUGCGGCUGCUCACGUCAAAUUCACGGCACUGGAAAAAUUUUAAAGAUUGAGUAUUUCGUUGUCAAUAACUUUAGGGUGAGACAUUUUUGAAAACACGCUAAAAUAAUAGGACAUUUUUGAGACAUUAAAUCUAUAAAAAUUAUUCAAAUCUCUCCUUCUAAAAAUAAAUAAAAGAAUUCAAAUCUAUGUGGAAGGAAAUUACCGUUACGUGAUUCUUCUUCUUCUUCUUUCUUUUAAUCUUUGCUCGUCUCGAUCUUCCGAUGAAUCAUUUCUUCUUAUCUUUCAAGUCAAAACAAAGUUGCAAGAGAGAAUUAAAUUAACCAUACAAAGAGGAAAGUUAGAGUUUGUUUCAUGUUGUGAUAGUAUUUGCAAAAGUUUUCGUAAUAAUGCAGAGUCAGAAUUAAAAUAGAAGGCAUAAAGGGGAUGCAAGCAGAUGCAGCCAGUUGAUCUUAUUAUAAGUAAAUUAUUUCCCAUCAGAAGCAGCGUGCACGUUACCCCUUCACCCCACAUGCUUUGUGCUAAUUUGUCAACAAAUUAUUUUAAGGAUAUCGUAACCAUUAUUUGUUUAAUCGAAAGUCAACCUAAUUACAAGUCGCUAAUUAAUACUUCUUCCAUCCUAUAAAAAAGUAUCACAUUUUUAUUUUCAUUCGUCCCAUAAAAAAGUAUAGUCUUAUAUUAUCUUUUUAACCACAACCAUUCAUUUCCAUAUAACUCAACAACUAAUUCAACCACAACCAUUCAUUUUUCACUCAACACAUUAUUUACCAAUCUUUUUUCUUAAAAUCUGUGUCAUUCAAUAUAUGAUACUCUCUUACGAGACGGAUGGAGUACUAAUUACAGAGACAGAUGCGAACACUUGUCAAUUGUUGUUGUAUAUUACACAUUAUUAAUUUACCAACUAGUUGGCCUUACUUGGGAUCAGUUCAAAGCAGCUCUUUGUAAGAAGUAUAUACCACGAGCUAUUGAAAAAAGUAAAGAAAUGGAGUUUGUUAGUCUGAAGCAAGGCAAUAAGACUCUAGCCGAAUACGACCGACAGUUUUGAUGCUUAAUAACUCAAUCAUAUUUUAUACAUUUGGAAAGUAAGCCCACCUGGUUAGGUAAACCUGAAGAUCAUAAUCACAUAAACUUGUCAUGGAAAAGCAACGCUAGCUAAUCCCCUUGGUGCACAAAAGCCUACAAGAAAUUCUAUUCUUAAUAGGUCUGGUGAAGCUAACUUAAUAUCUUAGUGAGUGUGCUUAACAUUCCUAAUUCAUCACACCGUGUUUUCAAAUUUAAAAAAAUAAAUAAUUGAAAAUUAAAUUCUGGCUAAGGACACAACAAUAUCCUUGCUCGACUUUUCUUUGAUGCUUGGAUUUAUUAAAACCAAUUUAAAAUCAUAAAUGCUUUCAUUUGCAAAAAUAUGCAUAAUGCAAAUCAUGUCGUGCUUAAACUAAUAUAAUAAGUAAUUAACUUAAAUAAUGCACAUAAUAAUAAUAAUAAUAAUAAUAAUAAUAAUAAUAAUAGAUAAUAAUAAUAAUAAUAAUAAUAAUAAUAAUAAUAAUAAUAAUAAUAAUAAUAUUCAGUUUCAAUUAAAUAAGUAAACCCAAAUUAGAGUCUAAUUAAAUAAAUUAAAUAAGUGUCCCAUUUUCCUUUCAUGAAAAAUCUGCAGCCCAAAUUAAUAUAAGGCAGCCCAUUUAAUAAGCAUGCAGAGGCCCGGACAUCAAAUAAAAAUCGCAGCCCAAUCUGAUUAAAAGAAAAGCCCAACACUUGAGCCUAACUAAAACCUAUCUACCCUUCUUCAAUUGACUCACGCCACACAGUCAGCCCACUCACGCGAACACACACUGCGCGCAGCGGCGCCUCUCCCUUUCCUCGUCGGCGUCGCCGGCUCUCCGGCGAAGCCGCGCCCGAGCGCCUCUCGCCUCGUCCCACUGAUUUCUCUCUAUCUCUCAUGUUUUACCUCGCACGCACAGACACUGACUCACAACCUCCUCCUUUCUCCGAUCUCUCCCUCUUCUCAGACGAUAGCAGCCGCCGGCCGCCACCGCCGCUUCUCCCUGCAUCUCCCUCUGACGGAACACACACAAAAGCACAGCAGCCCCAACAACACCAAGCCCGACAAGCAGGGGUCAUUCAAGCCUAAAACUAUAGCUCAAAACUCCUACUUGUUUUAAGUCAUUCUCUGUUUCUUAUUGUACAUUCAAAAAUCAUACUAUAUGCAAAUAUAUAAUGUACAUGAAUGAAUGAAUUAACUUUCUUGAGUGAUAUAUGAAUAGAUGAAUUGCUACUUGUGAAUCAGAGUGAAACAUGAGAUGUAAUUAAAAGAUUGAGGUGAACCUUGAGGUUGAACUUGGCUGAUAGUUUGGAUUUGAUUCUGUUGUGUUGUUGAAUCUGAGGAGGUAGAGAUUUGCGAUAAUAACUUUGGCUGUAGUAUUGAGUUGGUCUAAAGGUGUGAAUAUGUGCUGCAAAUGGGCAUGGCCUUAGAAGUAGGUAUGCAUUAAUUAUGGGAGGAGGCAUGGGUGUUGAUGGGAGAGUAAUGAUAUGACAAUUAAAACUCUAUGAUAAAAGAAUUGUAUCUGUAAAAAUCUUUCUGGGUUUGCUAAUUAAAAACACUCAAAUACUCAAUUUAAAUAAAUAUGCAAUGUAAAAGAAUUUAAAUGACUAAAUUUUACAAAGCUUUUGUAAAUCAUUUUUGUUGGAAUUAAAAUAAAUCAUUUUAUUUUCGGCGUGAAUCAUCUUAACUUCAAAAUUCAAAAUACUCUAAACUUAGCUAUAAGAAAACGGGAUAUUACAUGCCUCAUCGUGAUACUUGGCCUCGAAGAUGUUGUUGCAUGUGGCCUGUCUUCGAAGCCCUUUGACUUUUUGGAGGAGUGUACAUCCUCGCCCUGAGAUGCGAAUCGCUGACAUUAGCUCAAGAUCAUCCAAGCAUUGAAAUGCUUGAAUUGGGAGCCAUUGUUGUCCUCGUAGAUUUCUUGCGCGCGUAUUGAGUGAUUUGCUCGUCACUCAUUACGCUAUCCCAAUUGGCUUUGCAUUUGUCGUGUAUUGAUUUCCACACUUUGAGAUGUGAAGAGACAAUUGUGUUUGAUGUGAAAAUUUUAGUGGGGAAGAUGUAGUAUAUAUAUAGAGAAAGAAAAGGAAAUAUAUAUUAAAAAAAUUAAAAAUUGGAAAGAGUCGUUGGCUAUGCAACGGUGAAAAAAAAAGUGAAAAUUGCCAACAUUCGCAAUUUUAAAAAAAUUAAUUAGAUAUUUUUUUUAUUAAUUACACACGUGAAUGACACGCGCGUCACAUUUCAGCCUCCGUGCUCGCGCCAACACCCGCACCCAGCAUGAGCCGGUGCGGCACCCCAGCGCGGCAUCCUCCAUGCGUGCCGGGCAAAUGUGUGCGCUGGAGAUGCUCUAAGAUUUUUUGAGUUCCAUAAGAACUAAGCAGUCAUGAUGUUCAUUUGCAAUAUUAUUACACAAAUAAGUAAUUUCAUGAUGCUAAGUUGCCGGGAUAAGAUUAAAUAUGUCACAUGUUGGGCAUUAUACAACAAUUAUUUGUGAAAAUGGUGAAUAAAGUUGUCUGAAAACACACAGUAACGAGGGGGAAAAUCAAAAGGAACAAAAACUUAUAGAAUAUCCAAAUGCCAACAAACAAAACAUAUCAACUUAAAUAAACUGCGCUGAUACACUCACGCUUAUGGAUUGAUAUCCACGUCCGUCAUUUUGGAGAUUAAGCCUGACGUCCGGAUCUUUGUUGCAAUGAUUUUGGUCGUCACCAUCUUUAACUCUCGCAAAUAUUUUAUCGAUUCAGGCAGGGUCUCCAGAUUUGGACAAUUCUUGAUUUCUAAUAUCCUGAACCAAUACAUUCUAAGAUCUCUUUCUACCUUUCUUAGAUUCCACAACUCUUCAAGGCAGACGACUUCGAGAUUAGGUAAGCAGUCAUACAAAAUCACCAUGUGUUUACCAGUGUAUGCAUUCCGCAAUCUCAGGUAUUUUAGCCUGGGUAACUUCCCCGCUAGUUGUGACAUCGGGUCUUGAUCAAGACAGCUAUUCGCCAACGUCAAUGAUUCUAUACUUGGAGGGAAACUUCUUGGAAGCCUGGCAAGGAGUCCAUCUAUUUUGAGUGUUUUGAGAUUCUGUAGAAUAGCAAGCUCAUCCAAACAAGGCAUGCUUCUGAAACGAUACCCUCUUAAGAUUAGGUGUUUUAGACGCUCCAAGUCAGCCAAUGACACAAAGAGCUUGCUUACAUCUGAAUUUCCGUCCAAUUCUUCUAUGCCCAAUUUCUCAAGAAACCUCAACUUUUUUAAGCCCGAGAGAUCAUAAGUCCAAUUAUCAACCGAGACAUAGGUUAAGGUCUUCAGAUACUGUAGCGCGUCUAUCUUCAAAGGCUUCCGGCAAAUCACAUCAGACAUGUAGAGGUGGUGAAGGCUAACCAUUUCCCAUAUAAUAUCUGGUACCUCCAUCAUGAAGUUUUGAGCUAUGUCAAGAACUUCAAGUUCUUUCAAGCGCCCCAACAAGUUUGGGAGCUCUUGAAUGUGAUUGUUUCUCAAUCCCAAGUAUCUUAGUUUAAUCAAUGUGCCAAUACUCUCCGGUAAAUUCUUCAGCCCAAAAUCUUCCCAGUCAAGUAUCUUAAGUAGUUCAAAACUCUUCCAAUAGAAUGGACUAGAAUCGAAGUAGCCACCUCCAUGGAAGAAGAGAGAAACAAGAUGUUUAUCUUGAUCCGUGGAGUAGUUGAACUUGUCUCUGCUACAAAUGAUAACACGAUGGAGUCGAGGACUCUGAGAGGGUCAUAUUUCCAUUGCUUCUUAGGAUUUCAAACCUAUUUCCUCCUCAGCUUUUUUGAUGGAACUUGUGUAGUAACAUUCAUGGAUACCUUGUCCUUAUCUACUCAAUAAAAGAAUCAUCAACUAAUUUUUAAAUAGUAUGACACAUUGCUGAACCUCUGCAACCCAAAUCUGUUCCAACUUUUUUUGCCUCAUGUUUGUAUUUUCCUUGUACAAGGCCAUCCGUAAGAAUAAUGGCUUCACUUCUUCAUCUAAUUUAUGAUAAAACAGAUCCAAUUUCUCCAAAGUUGUACCCAAAUCAAAUGGUUGCUGAAGAAGUUCUUCCCAUUCACUCCCUAAGCAUCUCUUCUUUGCUAACUGUUUUCCCACCUCUUUUAUAGCUAAUGGCAGACCGCAGCAAUAUUUGGUCAACAUCUCUUUUCCUUUCUUCUCCAACUCCUUUGGGAAUUUGAACUCGCUUUUCAAUGUAUUGCCACUGUUUAUUGUUUGUAAAAACAAUUGCCAGCUCUUAUUAGAAUCCAAAAAUUCCAUAUCAUAAACUUCAUAAUUGUCGAUUGGAUUUAAAUUUGUCGUAUGACUUGUGAUCACCAAUCUACUUUCUCUGCCUGCUACAUAAGAACGAUACAAAAUUUAAUUAAAUCCUACAGGCACUAAUAAUUCGUGAAAUUUAUUCAAUUCGGACUGUAUUUUAUAAAUUUCGACAAUCAAUUGAAACUUUGAACUAACACUAAUAUGUUUUAGAGCUAUUUUACUUUAUUCUUUUAAUGAUUUUUGUUAAAUGACAUUGGCUUGAAAAUACACAAAUUUUUAGUCAAUUCAUGAAUUGCACACUGGGCUAUAAUUUAGCUAUGAGAAUACAUAAACUUUCAAUCUAUUAUGAUUUUAUCACGAAUAAAUCUCUCCAAAUUUAAAUCUCUUUCAAAGUCAAUCAAGCUAAAAAAUAAUUAAGUAAAAAUUUAUGACUUUGAUGAAGUUUGAAAAACAAGCUAAAAUACAGCAUGAAUUGAAACUAAAACAAUGCAAAAAAUAAAAUAAAAAUUUAUGCAUCACUCUCUUAGGAACUAAUUAAUGAAAAUUUGGGAUUUUAGUUUCGUAAAAAAAUCAGACCAAAUUGAAAGUUUAAAUAUUUUUAUACCAAAAUUAAAGUUCAUGUCCAAUUCAGAAUUGUCUAAAAUAUUUUGUAUUUGCAUGCUAAUAAUCCUUUAUUAUAUGUAUAAUACAUUAAAUUACAUAUUAGCCUUAAAUUAUGUAUAUAUAAGGGAUAUAUAUUAGGUCAAAUUUGAUUUUGCUAUUAUAAAAGAGACUUGUGUUAUAAAAUUUGAUUUGCCUAUUACAUAAAUUAAUUGUUCACAAAAAUCAUAUAAGAAUAAUAACUCAAAUUUCACGUACUAAAAGAAAUAUGUAAAAGAAUCAACCUAUUUUAUAUGUUUUGAAAGGGGCGGUUAUAAUCGUUUUAGAAACACAUUUGUGCACUUAAAAUAAAAAUUAAUAAUCGCAUGCAUGUCUUUUCAAUAAUUCUUUCUAAGUGCUAGCGAUACACCGGCACAUUUAACAUAAAUCAAAGAACCAGACAAGGAAGCCUAGUUCGAUUGAUAAGACGCUUCCCUCAACCGUUAUUAAUUAAUAGGAAAAAAAAAAAAUCAAGGAUAUAAGCAAAAGAUGGGCAUAUAUACCUUCACCUUCACGUGGAAGAGCUUCCAAGAUGAUCUCAAGUACAUUCUUUUUGGCAUGUCGUCAAGAACAAUGAGAUAUCGCAUUCCUUGUAGGUAUCGGUGAAGCAUUUGUUGGAGACUGCGGUUGUCUGCACGCUCCAUUUUUUCCAACAACGAAUCUCUUCUUUCCAGUUCCUCACUCUCCACUACCUGUUGUAUUAGUUUCAUAAGUGUCUCUUUAAUAGUUAGGUGAGUAACACAUACCCAAGCACGGCGAUCAAAUCGGGCAACGACAUCUGAAUGGUUGUAUAAUUGUCUGGCAAGAAGUGUCUUCCCAAUACCAGACAUGCCUUUCAGAAGCAGAGUCGAACGACUUUUUCCCGUUGAGGAUCCUCGUGCGAAGCAGCUUUUCCACAGCAUCCACCAAUCCCACCACAUCUUCAUCUUCAUCUUCUCCGACAUUUCCUGAGUCUGUCUCCGCCCCCAAUUUAAGUAAGUGCUUUUUGAUUUCUCUGAUCCUACGUUAGGGUUUGGCGAACCUGAAAGU
rnacentral:lncRNA from 1 species